CAAGGCCUUCCCUGGGCCGCGAGGGCGGCCGCGCGCCGCGGCUCUGCCGGCGUCGCUGUGGGAGUUCGGGUUUGGCGCCCGCGAAGCGCCGCCCGUGGGACCCCGGAGCGCUCGUGGCCCCCAGCCCGCGGUGCGUGCACCCACGGGAGGCGGCGUGCGGGCGCCCGAGAGUUCAUCGGGAGAAGCCCCGCGGCCAGCAGGGCGGCAGCCUGUAUGCAGCGCCUCACCAAACGCUGCUCGAUCCGGGAUUCCAGCAUCUCCCAUCACGUCCCGUCACGGCGUGCGUCAGGAGAUCCAACACCAGCCCCAGUGCAAUCUUGGAAGGAGAACUGAAUUAUUUAUGGCAGAGUGGUCAAACGACAGAGAGUGAAGCACCAGGCCUGGUGUAAUUUCGUGUCUCCUGCAGCCAGUUAUGUAAAAAUGUAAAUAUUACAAGUUUUCUGUGUCGCUGCUCCUGCCAAAUGUUUAAUAUUUUAGUAAAGUUGCUCUGAGUGCUCCUGCCACUUCGCAGAAGGAACUCGGUGUGCUCUUGAAUAAGUG
rnacentral:lncRNA from 1 species